rnacentral:rRNA from 1 species
AUUGAACGCUGGCGGCAGGCCUAACACAUGCAAGUCGAGCGGAUGAAGGGAGCUUGCUCCUGGAUUCAGCGGCGGACGGGUGAGUAAUGCCUAGGAAUCUGCCUGGCAGUGGGGGAUAACGUCCGGAAACGGGCGCUAAUACCGCAUACGUCCUGAGGGAGAAAGUGUGGGAUCUUCGGACCUCACGAUAUCAGAUGAGCCUAGGUCGGAUUAGCUAGUUGGUGGGGUAAAGGCCUACCAAGGCGACGAUCCGUAACUGGUCUGAGAGGGUGAUCAGCCACACUGGAACUGAGACACGGUCCAGACUCCUACGGGAGGCAGCAGUAGGGAAUAUUGGGCAAUGGGCGAAAGCCUGACGCAGCCACGCCGCGUGAGUGAAGAAGGUCUUCGGAUUGUAAAACACUGUUAGUUGGGAAGAAGAACAGUAAGAUUAACUCUUCCCGUUUUGACGGUACCAACAGAAAAAGCCACGGCUAACUUCGUG